CAAAAUAGAAUUACGUCACACAAGAACUACUAAACGUCUCAUUAUAAACCAGUUAUAACUGAAGCCUCCUAAUUGGAUAGUGCUUUUCCCAUGUUAGGCUUCUCUGACUGAGGUGAUGCAGAUACCAAAUUGGAGCGGUGCUGUUAGUGGAGGAAUCUGAUUCUUUACGUUUUAUCAUUCAUUUGUGAAGAAAUGGGUCGUAUGAAAUGGUAAGGCUUUGAGGAAGGCACUCGCCACCAAGCACCCAUAACUGGAGGAGUCAAGAAGCCUGACUGCUACCACCCUGGAAUCGUCACUCUUCGUGAAAACACAUACUAAAGCAACAACGCUAUGGUGGCGGGAAUAAGCGUUCUCACAUAUGUAUGGAUGUGUGAUAUGAAUCAGGUGUGUAUGUACACCUUUAUACAUGCAUCUGUGGAAAUACAUACGAUUGAGCCUGGUUUUUGUUUUAAGUUUGUAUACUGGUUGUCAGGUUCUAGAUGUUUGCUUACCUAGCAGUGGUUAUUCUGAUUUAGUGGUUAAAAAUGAAAAUUUCACUCACAAUACGGGAUUAAUUGAGGUUCAUACAUGCAUUGAAGUUACUCCCCACAAAGUAAGAAAGUUGCAACAUUGAAUGAUAGACAUGCAAAGAAAGAAGGGAAGUGGGGGAGUCCGACAUGGGGUUUGGGAACUUUAAUCUGGAUAUGGAAAGUGAUGUAUACUUGUGAUGAAGAAAAAGAAAAUAAAUAAAA